rnacentral:lncRNA from 1 species
GGGUAUUCUGUAAAAUUUUCUGAUAAAGAAUGCAAUGUGACUCGCGAUGAUAAUCUUUUCUUAAAAGGCGUUAGAUCUCAGAAUAACUGUUAUGUAGUUCCUAGUUCUUCAACUGAACAUUGUAACCUAGCGUCAUUAGAGACUGAAACUUUAUGGCAUGAAUGACUAGGUCACAUGAACUUUAAGGAACUAUCUAAGAUAACUAAGAAGGAGGUUGUUAGAGGUGUAUCUAAGAUAGACUUCAAAGAGAACACUGUGUGGGGGGGUUGUC